rnacentral:lncRNA from 1 species
CAUUGUACUGUGCAUUGCUAAACUCGCAUGCGAACUUUUAUUCAACGAAAUCUUAUGCUUGUGAUCACAGUGAACUCGUCAGUCGAUCAAAGCUCAAGUGCCUCAUCUAAGGAAACUAACCCUUGUUCCGUGUGCCUUCAUGUGCGAUGCAGUCGCUGCGUUGAGUGUCUACGCACAUCAGCCGCGAGCCGCCGGCCUACUGACUCGGCCGACCAAGUUUUAGAAAGUGAUGGCUGGCAUCAAGUGGUGUGUCAGCGAUCAGCUGCACUCCAUUUUGGGGGAUCAGCUGCACUCCAUUUUGGGGUUGAGCGAUCGCUAUGUUGCCCAGUUUCUAUUUAACAUGGCCCAGAAGAGUUCGUCUCGACAGGACCUCGUUGAGAAGAUACGUGACACCGGCACCAUUUCUGUUGCCGAUGUCGUCGGAUUCGUGGGGCAGCUGUGGGACAAGAAAAACGCUGCCAGUGGCCGAUGACAGCUGUUUGAGAAAAAAGAAUCUGAGGAGGCUGGUGCAUCCACCAGAACAGCCGGAUCUAUCAGUGGAGUGGCCACCGUGGGCAGUUUUGUGCACUUCCUGGCCAAAAACAAUGGCAAGCAGCUGACCAGCAGCAUCGUUGUUGAAGCACCAGGGCUGUCGCAACCGGAGGAUGCAGCACAAGCUAUGAGAACUGGCUUGGUCAAGACACGCACAGAGGAGGAAGUGCGUCUCUUGUGAAGUGCGUCUCUUGUGAAUGGCCCCUUUUUUUGGGGGGGUGUCUGUGUGUAAUGUAAUUUUUUCCCCUCUGUGUAAUUUCACAAUGCUUCUUAAAACAUUCAUGUGUUAGUUGCAGAGACUGGCAUACGUAUGUGAUGUCUUUUGUUAUUGUUGACAAAGCAUUAACGUUGAUGCCAAGUGUGAAGACAGCAUGGUGUCUUUUGUAAGCAUGCAAGACAUGUUUGUGUGAACGACAGUUGAACAUCUUCUCGUGUUUCACACUUGCACACUGUGUAGAACUCUGCUUGAUAAAAGACACCUCUGUUUCAGCGAUCAACAGAGGUAAUUCGUGCACAUUGAAGCAUGUGCAUUGUGCUAAAGUCUGCGCACAUAUAGGCAUCUUAUCUGUGGCAGUGUUCACUUUAUUUAUUUCAGUACAGUGUAGACCGCUUAUAAUUUAAGGCACUGGAGUCGCCAAUGGUACACUGUAAGUACACUGUACACCAUAACCAAUACAACGAUUUUCAAGGCCUGCACAUAUGGAAGACAUGUACACCGAGCAGCCACGCGUAUGCGACAAUCGAGAUAUGUGGCCAUAACGUUUGCAUUCAAUUUAUAAGCAUAAAGGGUUACCUGCUUGUGCACGGCAAAGGACCCGCCAUUCCGAACAGUCUUCAUGUAAAGCAGACAAAAAGCAUCAGAUUCAAGAGUUGCCUUUAAUUCUCACUCCGAGGGAAAUAAUUAUUUUGCUCUGGCAUUGCUUCUUAAUGGCCUUGUUAAUCACUUCAUCUUCUAUUGUGCUUAGCCGUUUGAGUGCCUCUUCACUGAGGUUAUUCACAGCGCAAAACACUCUCAGUUUGCUCAAGUAGUCAAGUGCGUCCUUACACGAAAUGUCU